rnacentral:pre_miRNA from 1 species
AAUAAAUGCAGCCAUGGAUAUCCGUGCCCAAUGUUUGACCGUCCGUCUUAUUUGAAAAAUUUAUGAAAAAUUUAAAAAUAUUUAUUACUAUUCAUGUUUUAUCAUCUAAUAGCAACAAAAAUACUAAUCAUAAAAAAUUUUCAAAUAAGAUAAACGGUCAAAUGUUGAACGUGAAUAGUGCAAAACUGCACUUAUU